UACGUAGGGUGCAAGCGUUGUCCGGAAUUAUUGGGCGUAAAGAGCUCGUAGGCGGUCUGUCGCGUCUGCUGUGAAAACUCGGGGCUUAACCCCGGGCCUGCAGUGGGUACGGGCAGACUAGAGUGCGGUAGGGGAGACUGGAAUUCCUGGUGUAGCGGUGGAAUGCGCAGAUAUCAGGAGGAACACCAAUAGCGAAGGCAGCUCGCUGGGACGGUACUGACGCUAAGGCGCGAAAGCGUGGGGAGCGAACAGG
rnacentral:rRNA from 1 species